UAUAUUUUAGUAUAAGAGUAUAAAAGUUUUUGAUGCUUUAGGUGGUAGUUAAAUCUAUUAAAUAUAG
rnacentral:tRNA from 1 species